rnacentral:lncRNA from 1 species
GGGAUUGUCAGACAUCAUUUGCUAAGUUGCAGCUUAGAUGAACUUGGUCGCUAGGCUAGGAUAUGGUAUAGUGUGCUUCUGAGAUUAGAACUUUCUAAGGUGUUGAUUCUAAGUUUUAAAUAUGUGAGUUCCUGCAGUUUUCAAACAUCUUUCAGAGAGAAUACAUGUAUGUUUUGCUUGAGGACAAGCAAAAGGGUAAGUCUGGAGGAGUUGAUAGACCAUCGAUUUGACCCACUUUUACCCAUGGUUUAUAAGUGUUUUAAAUACUAUUUACUAUAUUCUAGAGUUUAUUUAGUAUAUUUAUAGGAUCAGGAGUGAUUUGGAAGAAAGUGA